rnacentral:rRNA from 1 species
UGCAAGUCGAACGAUGAAGCCCAGCUUGCUGGGUGGAUUAGUGGCGAACGGGUGAGUAACACGUGAGUAACCUGCCCUUGACUCUGGGAUAAGCCUGGGAAACUGGGUCUAAUACCGGAUAGGAACGUCCACCGCAUGGUGGUUGUUGGAAAGAUUUAUCGGUCAUGGAUGGACUCGCGGCCUAUCAGCUUGUUGGUGAGGUAAUGGCUCACCAAGGCGACGACGGGUAGCCGGCCUGAGAGGGUGACCGGCCACACUGGGACUGAGACACGGCCCAGACUCCUACGGGAGGCAGCAGUGGGGAAUAUUGCACAAUGGGCGAAAGCCUGAUGCAGCGACGCCGCGUGAGGGAUGACGGCCUUCGGGUUGUAAACCUCUUUCAGUAGGGAAGAAGCGAAAGUGACGGUACCUGCAGAAGAAGCACCGGCUAACUACGUGCCAGCAGCCGCGGUAAUACGUAGGGUGCGAGCGUUAUCCGGAAUUAUUGGGCGUAAAGAGCUCGUAGGCGGUUUGUCGCGUCUGUCGUGAAAGUCCGGGGCUUAACCCCGGAUCUGCGGUGGGUACGGGCAGACUAGAGUGCAGUAGGGGAGACUGGAAUUCCUGGUGUAGCGGUGGAAUGCGCAGAUAUCAGGAGGAACACCGAUGGCGAAGGCAGGUCUCUGGGCUGUAACUGACGCUGAGGAGCGAAAAGCAUGGGGAGCGAACAGGAUUAGAUACCCUGGUAGUCC